CUCCCGUUCCGCGGUCGCAUUUCCUCGAACAGCUUCCGCGCCCUCGGCGAGCAGUUGCGCCGCCGCCGCCGCGCGGUUGCGGUGGUGCCGUCUCCCAUUCCGGCGAGGAGGCGCCGGAGGGUGGGACGCUGGCUCGUCGUCGGUGGAUAUCGAGAGAAUGGGGGCAAGCGCCACAGGCUGUGAGAUGACACAUGCUAAAUGGUUUAGUAGUUUCUGGAAGACAUAUUACAACAUGUGCAGCUGUGGUUUUUCUCCAUGGACACAGCCAUGUGACUAUCUGGUCUAGCGGCAGAAUUGUUGGACAUUUUGCUGAAUAGAUGAUUGAAACACUCUGCUCAAUGGGCCUCCAAUAUAUGUAAUACGCAUGGGCAGAUAGGCUACACGCCUACACACCAGGUCAGAGUUUUGUUCAGCCCUUCCCUUCUUAUCUGUGUUGCUGAGAUUUCUUUAUGCCAUGUGUGUUUGCUAUGGAUGUGAUUUUUUUUUUAAAACAAUGCAUAUGGAUGGUUACAUACGGCCUAAUAAGCACCUAUAUAUGAUGCACACAACCAUCAAACUAAAGUAAAUGGAAACAUGUCAAUCGCGCCGCCUGAAAGCAACAUAUCCUCAGAAACAAGUGUCCAAAAAUUGCAGUAUUCCAGUCUGUUUGUUACGCCAUUCAUCAUAGUAUAGGAAAAAAACACCCUGGAUGAUCGAUCCAUUUCAAAAUGUAUGGACCCAACAGGCAUAUAUACUCUGGUCCUCAAGGUUAUUAUCUGCAUAUGGAAUAUAUUUUCUCUGUUAUAUCUCCAUCACAUAGUUCUUCUUCUGUCAAUAGUUGGCCUACCCGAUAAAUCCCAUCACUUCAGAUAGCUAGCAGCCAUGCAUUCACCCCCAAAAGAUAAUAAAAUUGUUGAGCUGAUCGAUCAUAUAUGCCAGCAUUUGCAUACGUGGUCAAUCAUCGUACGCUUGUUGUUCCUCACGAUCAGAAUACAGGGCGCGAGAGAGGUUCCAUCCAACUGAUCGAUGUGAUGCUAGCUAGAGUACACAUGCAUCACAUGAGAAUUGUGAAUUGCCGGCUAUAUGUAUAUAGCUUGUUAUAGCUCGAUCGAUCGAUCGAUCGAAUCGAUCUUGUGGCUCAUGUGAUUUGCGAAUCCAUGUUAGGUCCAGGAAUUAGGGGCUCAGAAUGCACGUAGUGCAUGUGGCGCUCACACAGGCCACUAACUUAAUUAGUUCUAGCCGCAGCUAGCAUGGAAAUAUUACGUGCGUACCGGUCAUGCAUUUAUAUAUGAAUGCUUUCACCUCAUGGCAAAUAAAGAAAAAGGAACGAAUGCUUCUCAUCAUUCUUGCAUAUAUACUAUUAGCCGGAGAUCGAGCGAAGGAUUGUAUAGAGUUUCUGUUGGCAUGCUUGACUACUCGAGUAACUCGACAUCACAAUAUUGUGCUCUGUUUACAUAUAUUUAUAUAUAGUCGCUCUGUUGAGUUGCCUAGAUUUAAUCAAUAAUUUUUUUUAAAAAAAAUAGUUGAAUUAUUCAGCAUCAUAUCUGUAACAUUAGAUUAGUCAUCGAAAAUAUCUUAAUAUCUUACAUUUACAAACUUAUUUCACUUUCAAGUUUCUUUUAAAACAAUGAUUAAAGUUUAUCCACUUCUGAUCAAAAUCAAUAAGGUAGUAGUAUUUGUGAAUGGAGGAAGUUUCUAUGCUACUUUAAAAGAAUGUAGUGAUGGUGGCAAUGAACCCGCUACUCUUAUUAUAGUUUUACAAAUUACCUCUUGAACUUCUUAAUAUUAAAAACCAAUCAAAUUUAAAUGGAUAGUCACAUAUAUAGUCAAAUUAAGGUGAAUGUUCACUAUAGCAAAAGAAUAGGUAACAUUUUGUAGAAAAUAUAUUUUUUUAUUUGUUUUAGGUAAUACUAGAAUAUAUUACAUUGCAUUCAGCUAGUAUAUGUAAAUUUAGGCUGUGUUUAGUUCGUGUGCUAAUUUUUUUUUGAAGUAUAUGGACACACAUUUAAAGUAUUAAACGUAGACUAAUAACAAAAUAAAUUACAGAUUCCGCC